rnacentral:rRNA from 1 species
UACGUAGGUGGCGAGCGUUGUCCGGAUUUAUUGGGCGUAAAGCGCGCGCAGGCGGUCGUCUAAGUCCGGCGUGAAAGCCCCCGGCUCAACCGGGGGAGGUCGCGGGAUACUGGGGGACUUGGAGGCGGGCAGAGGCCGGUGGAAUUCCCGGUGUAGUGGUGAAAUGCGUAGAGAUCGGGAGGAACACCAGUGGCGAAAGCGGCCGGCUGGGCCUGGCCUGACGCUGAGGCGCGAAAGCGUGGGGAGCGAA